AGAGAUGGAUUGGUGCCUUCGGGAACGUCUGACACAGGUGCUGCAUGGCUGUCGUCAGCUCGUGUCGUGAGAGUGUUGGGUUAAGUCCCGUAACGAGCGCAACCCUUGUCCUUAGUUACCAGCACGUUAUGGUGGGCACUCUAAGGAGACUGCCGGUGACAAACCGGAGGAAGUGGGGAUGACGUCAAGUCAUCAUGGCCCUUACGGCCUGGGCUACACACGUGCUACAAUGGUCGGUACAAAGGGUUGCCAAGCCGCGAGGUGGAGCUAAUCCCAUAAAACCGAUCGUAGUCCGGAUCGCAGUCUGCAACUCGACUGCGUGAAGUCGGAAUCGCUAGUAAUCGUGAAUCAGAAUGUCACGGUGAAUACGUUCCCGGGCCUU
rnacentral:rRNA from 1 species